UACGUAGGGUCCGAGCGUUGUCCGGAAUUACUGGGCGUAAAGAGCUCGUAGGUGGUUUGUCGCGUUGUUCGUGAAAACUCACAGCUUAACUGUGGGCGCGCGGGCGAUACGGGCAGACUAGAGUACUGCAGGGGAGACUGGAAUUCCUGGUGUAGCGGUGGAAUGCGCAGAUAUCAGGAGGAACACCGGUGGCGAAGGCGGGUCUCUGGGCAGUAACUGACGCUGAGGAGCGAAAGCGUGGGGAGCGAACAGG
rnacentral:rRNA from 1 species